rnacentral:lncRNA from 1 species
CACAUCCUGUGUCAAUAGGGAGGUUUCUGUCCUGGCUUACACUGAGGUCCCCUCACAGUGUCCUUCACACGGUAAUACAAGGCCGUGUCCUCAGUUCUCAAGCUGUUCAUCUGCAGAUACAGUAUGUUCUUGCCGUUGUCUCUGGAGAUGGUGAAUCGGCCCUUCACAGAGUCUGCAUAGCUUGUGCUACUUCCAUCAUAGCUUAUACAUGCGACCCACUGCAGUCCCUUCCAAGGAGCCUGGCGGACCCAAUGCAUGUAGUAGUUGCUGAAGGUGAAUCCAGAGGCUGCACAGGAGAGUCUCAGGGACCCUCCAGGCUUCACCAGGUCUCCCCCAGACUCCACUAGCUUCAUCUCACACUGGACAUCUGCAGACACAAGAUACCCAAGUAAGGGAUCGGUCACACCCCCAUGGCUUCUCUCACUCAUAUCCACUCACAUCCUCAAUUUCUUUGGUUCUCCAGAAAUUACCUUUUAAAAGAUCAACAAGGUAAACCCAGCCAAGCACAAACUCCCUGGUGAGUUCUCUGUGUUCUAUCCUGAUCAGUGAAUGUGGGCACCUGGAAAUCCCAGGCCUGGGGCUC